rnacentral:rRNA from 1 species
GUCCCGGUUUAAGCGUGUAGGCUGGUUUUCCAGGCAAAUCCGGAAAACCAAGGCUGAGGCGUGAUGACGAGGCACUACGGUGCUGAAGCGACAAAUGCCCUGCUUCCAGGAAAAGCCUCUAAGCAUCAGGUAACAUCAAAUCGUACCCCAAACCGACACAGGUGGUCAGGUAGAGAAUACCAAGGCGCUUGAGAGAACUCGGGUGAAGGAACUAGGCAAAAUGGUGCCGUAACUUCGGGAGAAGGCACGCUGAUAUGUAGGUGAAGCGACUUGCUCGUGGAGCUGAAAUCAGUCGAAGAUACCAGCUGGCUGCAACUGUUUAUUAAAAACACAGCACUGUGCAAACACGAAAGUGGACGUAUACGGUGUGACGCCUGCCCGGUGCCGGAAGGUUAAUUGAUGGGGUUAGCGGCAACGCGAAGCUCUUGAUCGAAGCCCCGGUAAACGGCGGCCGUAACUAUAACGGUCCUAAGGUAGCGAAAUUCCUUGUCGGGUAAGUUCCGACCUGCACGAAUGGCGUAAUGAUGGCCAGGCUGUCUCCACCCGAGACUCAGUGAAAUUGAACUCGCUGUGAAGAUGCAGUGUACCCGCGGCAAGACGGAAAGACCCCGUGAACCUUUACUAUAGCUUGACACUGAACAUUGAGCCUUGAUGUGUAGGAUAGGUGGGAGGCUUUGAAGUGUGGACGCCAGUCUGCAUGGAGCCGACCUUGAAAUACCACCCUUUAAUGUUUGAUGUUCUAACGUUGGCCCGUAAUCCGGGUUGCGGACAGUGUCUGGUGGGUAGUUUGACUGGGGCGGUCUCCUCCUAAAGAGUAACGGAGGAGCACGAAGGUUGGCUAAUCCUGGUCGGACAUCAGGAGGUUAGUGCAAUGGCAUAAGCCAGCUUGACUGCGAGCGUGACGGCGCGAGCAGGUGCGAAAGCAGGUCAUAGUGAUCCGGUGGUUCUGAAUGGAAGGGCCAUCGCUCAACGGAUAAAAGGUACUCCGGGGAUAACAGGCUGAUACCGCCCAAGAGUUCAUAUCGACGGCGGUGUUUGGCACCUCGAUGUCGGCUCAUCACAUCCUGGGGCUGAAGUAGGUCCCAAGGGUAUGGCUGUUCGCCAUUUAAAGUGGUACGCGAGCUGGGUUUAGAACGUCGUGAGACAGUUCGGUCCCUAUCUGCCGUGGGCGCUGGAGAACUGAGGGGGGCUGCUCCUAGUACGAGAGGACCGGAGUGGACGCAUCACUGGUGUUCGGGUUGUCAUGCCAAUGGCACUGCCCGGUAGCUAAAUGCGGAAGAGAUAAGUGCUGAAAGCAUCUAAGCACGAAACUUGCCCCGAGAUGAGUUCUCCCUGACUCCUUGAGAGUCCUGAAGGAACGUUGAAGACGACGACGUUGAUAGGCCGGGUGUGUAAGCGCAGCGAUGCGUUGAGCUAACCGGUACUAAUGAACCGUGAGGCUUAACCUUACAACGCCGAAG